AACCAUCCACACCAGGGAUGACCUUGGUGUCUUCCAGGACUCUGAGCUUCUAUUCAGUAUAAUUGAAUCCAACCAGUGGGAGCUCUCAAGGGGGACAGCCUCUUCCUCUAUAUUGAUGGGCCAUUGAGGAAAGCAAGCUGCCAAUUGAGAUACUUAUCAGUGUGCUGAAGCUUUGAAGGCUGCCCUUUCUGCUCAACCUUGGAAUUUCCUGGAUAUUCCUGCAUGCCAUCAUCUCCAGGGUUCAUGCCUGGUGGAGAGGACAUCCCUGGAUGCUGCUUCGGUGUUCUAUCUGAUUGGAACUACAAUAUCUAUGGGAUUUGGGACCUGAGAGACUUGGAGAAACAGGAAGAAUGGGAGUGGGAGUGUGACCAAAAUAGUGGACAUUGCAGCAAUGGCCAGACACUGCAGGCUUCCUUGCACCCGGGGUACUCCUGAGAUAAAGAGGAAGGUGGGGAUGACUGGAGUCGUGGGGGAUGAAUUGCAUUUCCAUUUAGUUACUUAACUCUUUGAAAAUCUGUGGAAUACCCACCUAUCGUUUCAGAAGUCCAGUAUUUUUGUUGCCGACCAAGAAGUAUAUUGAAGAAAAUCUUAUCUGUUUCCUGUGACAUCAAAGAUUUGUUUCCAAAGAGCAGAAGCUGAGGGGAGGAGUGUGAGGACUAUCUGAUGCCCACAUAAUUGUUUAUUUCUGAGCAGACAGCUUAUGCUCGCUGAGGAGUGAAGCCGCAGUCAUAUUGCAGACUUGGAGCUGUGUCCUGAAAGUCAUUUGCUUGCCCUUUGCAGAAAAGAAAGGCAAAGAAAGGGUGAUCUCGAGGUCCCUGACUGAAUCACAUCUGCCAAGUUCCUUUUGCCAUACAGAGUAACACCUUCACAGCUUCUGGGGAUUAGGACAUGGACACCUGUGAGGGGUCAUUACUCUGCCUAACCUAAAAAAGAGAUUUUUAUUUUCAAGAGAGCUAGUUGUUAAAUACUUAGUGGCACACACUCCCCGUGACCCUCUUAAUACCUUGGUAGACUUGUGGGGAAGACCCUAAUCCUUCUCACGGCGCUACCACUUUGAUUUUAAUGCUGUCAUACCUUCUGUCAUUUAGGGACACCUAUAAGGUUUCUGCCUCCAAAAAAUGGGGCACAGCUGCUCUCUAGCCCCCGAGCUUCUCUGGGUGUCUGUGAAGACCCAGGCUGAGGCUGCAGGGUGCAGUUACACCCUCCUGCUAUUCAGAUGAUCACUUCUCCUCUCUACUUUCCUCUCCUUUCUCAGUCAUUGCAUUUUACUUUUUUGGGGAUGGGAAAACUUGCUUUUAUGUCAUUAUACAUUCAUCCUAAGACUGUGUUUAUCAAAUAAACUUUAUAUAUCUCCCGGGUCUUAGUUUUUAAUAGCUGCAGGCAAGCUUUUAGAAUUUAACAAAUCUUUUCUCUCUCAAAAAGCUGGUUUCUCACAAAUCAGAAGCACCUUUCUUUUAAGAUUCCAUUUAUUUCCAAGUUUCAAAAUCCUAUUUUGAACCUCAAAGCCAAUAAAGGCUGUUUUGCUAUCCUUCUAAAG